CUUGACUAAUGAAUUCUGUUGUUGUCAAAGUGUUCUUUUGGGUGCUCAGCAGGGAGUGGGAGAGGGACAUGGGAGGAAGAGAGAGAAAGAAAACAAGGAGUGAAACAAUAUUUGGUUGAGGAGGAAUCAGAAACGUUUCGUCUUACGCAUGACAGGUUGCAGUCAGGACAUGAACUUUGUCUAAGGCUGUGGCAUCCAGCUCACUCAGACUCCUGGAUCUGGAAGGGCCUGUUUGCAAGGCAGUCUGCAGUGUGACCAUCUCACUGUUGCACAAAGGAGAAAUGAGCAUUCCCAUAAUUCACUUUGGCAAGAAACCAGGCAGAGAUCUACAGGAGUUUAUAUAACUGGAUCCCACCAGGUAAAUAAUUUAGGUUUCAACAAGUCAUUCUUUUCCAAUAACAACUUCCCAACCUGAUCAGUCUUGCAGUGUUUCAUGCGCAGCUUUCUGAAAUCUUUUUAAAGCUGCAUAUCUGCCAAACUGACGUACAGCUUUCCAAACUGCACUGUUUCAAAAAGAUCCAACUUCCAAAUGACGUACUCUGGAUCAGAUCCCCAGGCUGCAGUGAUCGUAACAUGGAAUACAGUACUGUGGUGGACAUCUGGAUAGGGCAGCUCUUGGCUGAAAUUUUUAUGAAGAGGAUAGAUGCUGCUGAGAAAGAAAGAGAAAGGAAUCAGCGGAACCAAGAGGCGAUCUGACUUCUUAAAAGGUCAAACACUUGGAAACAAAUCUGAGGUGUCCUGAAUCCUAAUGCAAUACCAUUCUCAUUAAACUGUGUCAUGGCCUAAAGCAAAUGCUCAGUAUAACUGCGUUUUUACUGCAGCCAUUUUAAAAUGAUGGCUCUUGUGGCAUCCACAUGUCUCAUUUGUUAUAUACAGCCAUGCAAGCCAUGCAGAUGACUGUUAAUGUUACCCUCUCUCCCCCUCAACUAUUAAAUAAACUCAGAAAUUACAAUGACA
rnacentral:lncRNA from 1 species